CACAUCCAAACCCGUCUCUUCUCAGACCCAAAAUCACUUCUGUUCCUUCCCCUCUCACCACUUGACUUCAUAACCAAACCAUUCCCUUUCGCUCUUUAACCAAAAUCCAAUCUUUGAACACAAACCAAGCCUAUUUCGUGGGUUUUCUGGGAAAGCAAUUGGAUUUUUGUUUGAAAGGAAGUUAAGGGUCGUGUGAGUGCAAAAGAAGAUGGCGUUGAUGAAGAAGCUGAGGAGGAAAGUGGAGGGGAGAGUACCUUGCCGGAGCGGUUUAGGACUUGACCGAAGAAGCUCCUGACCCUCCUGUGAAGUUGGCAUGGUUUCUGGUUUCACAAGGAUUUAAGGAGCCCAUUUCUACGGUCUGGCUGGAGAGUAGCACAUGGCAGUGCUACUAUGCUGGUGAAUUGGUGCGGUAAACGGUAGCAACAAGCAAACGGGUGGAUGCAAGAGGCAUAGAAAAGAGAGAGAUGGACAACAGACAUGUAUAAAAGAGUUCAUGAGGCGAUCCAAGUAAAAGUGGAAGUUCAUGCAGUUCAGACGAGUCAAGUCCAUCGAAAAAUCCCAAAAAACGCAUGAAGAAAUUAGCAUCGGCAGUUAAUGAGGAAAAGACCGGUGACACUGAAAUUACCAUAAGAGGUGAUUGCCAAGAUGAUGGAAAGAAUGGAAGCUUCAUAACAGUUCUGGUGAAGUUCCCAUUAUCAUUUCAAUGGCCGGCCGGGCAAAAGAGUUCAAACAGACUGUUGGAAAGCUGUCAAAUGAAAAGGUUUUAGCAAUCAGCGAUAUGGGAUUUGGUAAUAUUUUCUUGUUCCGGUGCAGCAAAUUGAACCUCCACCUUUGCCAAAUGUUGGUCGACAAUUUUGAUGUAGGCAUGAAGAUUCAUGGGAGGUUGAUGAUCAGCCAUGAAGAUUUUAAGCGGGUAAUGAAUGUAAGGGAUGAGACUUGUGAAGUAGAACUAGCUGGUUGCUUGGAUGAUGCAGAUAUCGUGCAACUGAAGAGCCUGAUAUGUGGAAGUGAUAGUGAAAUCAGUAUUGACCGCUUGUGGAAGUGAUACCACUUUAUUAACCUACUAUUAUUUCUAUCAACAUCUGCACUCCAUAUACUCAACCAAAGUUGAAAACAUUCCAAUCCAUAUAUCAUGAACAACCAGAAUCAGAGUUGUAAAGAAAGAUGAUAAAUCAUAUUUAUUCCACAAUGAUUGGCAACAUAGGCCAUGACUUCAGCAAUUGUAAUCCUUCA